CGAACGCUGGCGGCAGGCUUAACACAUGCAAGUCGAACGGGCGUAGCAAUACGUCAGUGGCAGACGGGUGAGUAACGCGUGGGAACGUACCUUUUGGUUCGGAACAACCCAGGGAAACUUGGGCUAAUACCGGAUAAGCCCUUACGGGGAAAGAUUUAUCGCCGAAAGAUCGGCCCGCGUCUGAUUAGCUAGUUGGUGUGGUAACGGCGCACCAAGGCGACGAUCAGUAGCUGGUCUGAGAGGAUGAUCAGCCACAUUGGGGACUGAGACACGGCCCAAACUCCUACGGGAGGCAGCAGUGGGGAAUAUUGGACAAUGGGCGCAAGCCUGAUCCAGCCAUGCCGCGUGAGUGAUGAAGGCCCUAGGGUUGUAAAGCUCUUUUGUGCGGGAAGAUAAUGACGGUACCGCAAGAAUAAGCCCCGGCUAAC
rnacentral:rRNA from 1 species